GACGAACGCUGGCAGCGUGCUUAACACAUGCAAGUCGAACGGAAAGGCCCUGCUUUUGUGGGGUGCUCGAGUGGCGAACGGGUGAGUAACACGUGAGUAACCUGCCCUUGACUUUGGGAUAACUUCAGGAAACUGGGGCUAAUACCGGAUAGGAGCUCCUGCUGCAUGGUGGGGGUUGGAAAGUUUCGGCGGUUGGGGAUGGACUCGCGGCUUAUCAGCUUGUUGGUGGGGUAGUGGCUUACCAAGGCUUUGACGGGUAGCCGGCCUGAGAGGGUGACCGGCCACAUUGGGACUGAGAUACGGCCCAGACUCCUACGGGAGGCAGCAGUGGGGAAUACUGCACAAUGGGCGGAAGCCUGAUGCAGCAACGCCGCGUGCGGGAUGACGGCCUUCGGGUUGUAAACCGCUUUCGCCUGUGACGAAGCGUGAGUGACGGUAAUGGGUAAAGAAGCACCGGCUAACUACGUG
rnacentral:rRNA from 1 species